CCUGCGGAGGGAUCAUUACCGAGUUUACAACUCCCAAACCCCUGUGAACAUACCACUUGUUGCCUCGGCGGAUCAGCCCGCUCCCGGUAAAACGGGACGGCCCGCCAGAGGACCCCUAAACUCUGUUUCUAUAUGUAACUUCUGAGUAAAACCAUAAAUAAAUCAAAACUUUCAACAACGGAUCUCUUGGUUCUGGCAUCGAUGAAGAACGCAGCAAAAUGCGAUAAGUAAUGUGAAUUGCAGAAUUCAGUGAAUCAUCGAAUCUUUGAACGCACAUUGCGCCCGCCAGUAUUCUGGCGGGCAUGCCUGUUCGAGCGUCAUUUCAACCCUCAAGCACAGCUUGGUGUUGGGACUCGCGUUAAUUCGCGUUCCUCAAAUUGAUUGGCGGUCACGUCGAGCUUCCAUAGCGUAGUAGUAAAACCCUCGUUACUGGUAAUCGUCGCGGCCACGCCGUUAAACCCCAACUUCUGAAUGUGACC
rnacentral:rRNA from 1 species